GCUCCGUUGGUGAACCAGCGGAGGGAUCAUUACCGAGUGCAAACUCAUAACCCUUUGUGAACCUAUAUCUGUUGCUUCGGCGGCUCGCUCUCGGGCGAGCCCGCCGGUAAUAUCAGUAUCUCUGUUUGGACCCGACGAUACUUCUGAGUGUUCUUAGCGAACAGUUAAAACUUUUAACAACGGAUCUCUUGGCUCUA
rnacentral:misc_RNA from 1 species